rnacentral:lncRNA from 1 species
UGUAUAUCUUGGAGAUUAAGCCUUUGUCAUUUUCAUUCUUUGCAACUAUUUCUCCCAUUCCAUAGGUUGUCUUUUCAUAUUUUUUAAAAUGGCUUCCUUUGCUGUGCAAAAGCUUCUAAGUUUGAUUAGGUUCCAUUGGUUUAUUUUUGUUUUUAUUGCUAUUGCCUUGGGAGACUGACCUAAGAAACAUUUGUACGGUUGAUGUCAGAGAAUGUUUUGCCUGUGUUCUCUUUGGGAGUUUUAUAGUGUCUUGUCUUAUGUUUAAGUCUUUAAGCCAUUUUGAGUUUAUUUUUGUGCAUGGUAUGAAGUGCUUAAUAUUUAAAAAUUUUCACUUUUACUAAAAUAAAUUACAUAGAGUGAAUGUUAUGUUUAGCAAAAGCUUUAUAGUUAAGUAUAUGUCAAGGUUUUCAAAAACUUGGCUUAACAUUUUUGGAUGUGCUAAUUCACAAGUACAGUUUGAAGUUCAAAAUAAAUGGAUGUUGGUUUUAAAGGCUUCCAUAGCUGAAGCUCUCCCAUGAGGCCAGGGAAAUCCACAUGGAAACAGAACUUCAGAGGCAGCACUCAAUAAAAAGUAAUAGUCAUUUUCCAGCCUUAUCCAUCACUUGUGCGAAGGCUUUGGUUGAAACUUCGUGUUCAUUUUCAACUUGGUUUUGCUUUUCUUGCCAAGUUAUUGGGAGGUACAGUCUUUUUAAAUAGCUUUUAACAUAUACGUCUUGUAAAAUUCUUUGGAAGAUGUAAAACAUAGAAAAUUUUGUUCUCAAGAUUUCAAAUACACAUAGGAAACUUUUAGUUGGCAAACACAGCGUUUGGGGGGAAAAAGUAAUAAGCAUGGAAACAUUUCCAAAAAUUUAUUUUGAAAAUGCUCUUUCCAUAGCAUGAAUUUCUUUCAAAUGUCGUUAGUACUUUCUUAUUCCUUGUCGCAGCAUCAUCUUUAACUUGAAGAAACAGAUCACGUGUGUUUGUAUUUGUGAAAACAGCCUCCAGGAAGCAGGCCAUUGAGUACGACUUAUUUUCACAGAAAAAGUGGGGAAAUUGGAAAUGACUGCCCUUUUUGUAGAAGGAAAAAAAACACAUAGUCAUCUUUUUGUUGUUGUUGUUGUUGUCUUUUUAGGGCCGCACCGCAGCUUAUGGAGGUGCCCAGGCUAGGCGUCAAAUUGGAGCUGUAGCUGCCGGCCUACACCACAGCUGCAGCAACACAGGAUCCGACCUGUGUCUGCCACCUACACCACAGCUCACAGCCACGCUGGAUCCUUAACCCACUGAACAAGGCCAGGGAUUGCACUUUCGUCCUCAUGGAUGCUAGUCAGAUUCGUUAACCACUGAGCCACAACGGGAGCUUCCACAUAGUCAUUUUUAAGUUUGGUUGCUCUACAUGCUUUGUCUCCUGUGGUAUAUGGAAUGACUGGCCAGUGGGGACCUGCUGUAUAGCACAGGGAACUCUACCCAAUAUUCGGGGAUAAUCUAUAUGGGAAAAGAAUAUGAAAAAAAAAGGAUGUGUGUAUAUGUAUAACCGAAUUACUGUGUUGUACAGCAGAAAUUAUCACAACAUUGUAAUCAACUUAUAUGUCAGUAAAACUUUAAAAAAUGAAAAAAAAAAUGCUUUGCCGCAAGAUAAACACCAGUCCUCUAAAGAGUAAAACUUUUCCAUGGUCAUUCCCCAUCUUAUUACAGAGAAGCGUAAAAAUUCUACUAAUUUUAAAAGUCCUGUUUUUAUAAAAUUAACCACACUCAUGAUGUUUGUUAGCAUUUUUGACAUUUUGGUCUUUUGUUUCUUUGCUGUAUUAACUUUUCUAGGACCAGUGCAGUGAAUCAGUUUCAUGUUCUGGCCUAUUUUUAUAACCUUACCCUGAAUUUAAAAUGCUAAUCAAAGCAGCUGUUACCUUACAUAAUUUCCCCAUAAAGCAUUAUUUUAACUAACGGAGUCAUUGCUUUUUGAAAAUACAUCUUUUUUUUUUCCUGGUACCUCUUUCCUUUAGUGACUCAUGAAUAAGUAGGUGUCUCAUUGCAUCGCUGAAACAGAACUAAGCAAAUACCCUUAUUUGGAACAUGUGAGAAACAGCAGUACUUUUCUCCAACCACACAGCAAACUGCCACAUGGCAUACUGUUUCUUGAAAACUUCAGCAACGUUUCAUGCGAUUCCAGCAGGCAUUUUAUUUUGGAGCUAUAUUGUUCUCCAUGUAUUAUUUUAGCUAUUUUUUACCACAUCAGGAAGAAUCUUUGUUUUCCUGGUGGCAUGUGACUUUUUGCCUUAAGCAAUUAAGAAAAAAAAAAAAUUCCAAACAGGCUCUUAAAAUAUUCAGUUUAGCAAAAUUCUGGACUAGAUUUAGUAUUGAAUAAUUAUUAACAUGGCUGAAACAUUUAGCGCUACUUAUAUUCAUGUGGUGGAUAUUUAGAUUUUAAAUAUCUUAAUAAUGAUCAUGGCUUUGAUACCAUCAUUAAGGAUUAUCUCAAGGCACAGUCUAUACUUACAGUGAGAUUCUCCCUUAAUAAUAGAGGCUGGAAAUGUGUAUU